AUCUCAUUACAGCUCAGCUGGUUAGAGCAUGGUGCUGUUAAUGCAAAGGCUGCAGGUUCGAUCCCCAUAUGGGACA